rnacentral:lncRNA from 1 species
UUCAGCGCUCCGAAAGCCGGCGCUUGAGAUCCAGGCAAGUGAAUCCAGCCAGGCAGUUUUCCCUUCAGCACCUCGGACAGAACACGCAGUAAAAAAUGGCUCCGAUCACCACCAGCCGGGAAGAAUUUGAUGAAAUCCCCACAGUGGUGGGGAUCUUCAGUGCAUUUGGCCUGGUCUUCACAGUCUCUCUCUUUGCAUGGAUCUGCUGUCAGAGAAAAUCAUCCAAUGAAAACUAGAGUGCUGAGAAAAACCUUGGAUCCAGCUUUUGAUGAGACCUUUACAUUCUAUGGGAUACCCUACACCCAAAUCCAAGAAUUGGCCUUGCACUUCACAAUUUUGAGUUUUGACAGGUUUUCAAGAGAUGAUAUCAUUGGGGAAGUUCUAAUUCCUCUCUCGGGAAUUGAAUUAUCUGAAGGAAAAAUGUUAAUGAAUAGAGAGAUCAUCAAGAGAAAUGUUAGGAAGUCUUCAGGACGGGGUGAGUUACUGAUCUCUCUCUGCUAUCAGUCCACCACAAACACUCUAACUGUGGUUGUCUUAAAAGCUCGACAUCUGCCUAAAUC